rnacentral:rRNA from 1 species
UACAGAGGGUGCAAGCGUUAAUCGGAAUUACUGGGCGUAAAGCGUGCGUAGACGGUUAUUUAAGUCGGGUGUGAAAGCCCCGGGCUCAACCUGGGAAUUGCGCUCGAAACUACGAUGCUGGAGUGUGGCAGAGGAAGGUGGAAUUCCACGUGUAGCGGUGAAAUGCGUAGAGAUGUGGAGGAACACCGAUGGCGAAGGCAGCCUUCUGGGCCAACACUGACGCUCAUGCACGAAAGCGUGGGGAGCAAACAGG